rnacentral:lncRNA from 1 species
AAUUCACAAAACAACAAAAGUACAGGCCCCCCAACCUCAAAAUUUGACAACACAACCCAUCAUCCAUGCCUCAAGGUUGAUACAACAAAAAGAAAACAAAACUACAGGCCCCCCAACCUCGAAAUUUGACAACACAACCCAUCAUCCACGCCUCUAGGUUGAUACAACAAAAAGAAAAGAAAAAUAAAGUCCUAAUUUGAGAGAGAGGAAUAAUUGCUUUUAUCCAAUUGCUGCCAGUUAGAAGGCUAAGCUCCUUCUCAUCCAUUUGAUUUUUGUUUCCAUUUCGUACUGUCCAUUUGGAUGGCAUGGAACAAAAAUAAACUCAAUACGAAAGGCAGGCAGAAGCAGGUACCGGCUCCAAGCCUGCUUUUCGUAUCAACAUAGGCCCAAAGCACCAGGUCCUGGCAAGGCCUGCAGCUGAGUGCCAAGUAAGGAGUGCUCCUUACUCA